CCCCUUUCCUGAUUACAAGAAGGUGCCAAGUGUAAUCAACCCAGUCACCCUCAUCACUGUUCUCUUCUUCCAGCCAGAGAAAUUCAGACCUGAAGAAGGCUCACGCCCCAGCCUAGUGAGUCCAGGGGCCCUAUUUCCAGCCUGAUGUCUCACCUUCCCCAGCGUGGACCCCGCCUCAUGAGAUCCCCCCCGGAAGCUCCACAGUCGCUCGUAGACAUGGGCACCAUCAGACCUCAGCGUCCGGAAUCCUGGGCCUACAUGUGCUGCUGGCAGUAGGAGCACCCAAGAUGAAGGAGGAAACCCUAUACACGUUCAGCAGCCCUUGGCCACCACAAAUUUGCUUUCUGUUUCUGUGGAUUUACCUGAUCUGGAUAUUUCCUAUAAAUGGAACCAAACAAUA